UACAGAGGUCUCAAGCGUUGUUCGGAUUUACUGGGCGUAAAGGGCGCGUAGGCGGCGUGGUAAGUCACUUGUGAAAUCUCUGAGCUUAACUCAGAACGGCCAAGUGAUACUGCUGUACUAGAGUGCGGAAGGGGCAACUGGAAUUCUCGGUGUAGCGGUGAAAUGCGUAGAUAUCGAGAGGAACACCUGCGGCGAAGGCGGGUUGCUGGGCCGACACUGACGCUGAUGCGCGAAAGCCAGGGGAGCGAACGGG
rnacentral:rRNA from 1 species